rnacentral:piRNA from 1 species
UUUAUAUAUGGUGUUGACUUA